AACCACGACUCUCCAACCACGACAUCACCCGGCGCCUCCCCCCCCCCCCCCCCGCGCUGCAUCCUCUCCCCACCACGUCCUCGCCAACCCCACCGGUUUUCCCUAGAUCAACUCUGCCGCCGUCGUGUCCCGGCACAGAUCAAGGUGUGAGCUGCUGGACACGAUGAGGGAGCGGGCAUCUUGGAGCGGACCGAGAUCCACUGCGUCUACGCGAGCACCUCAGGCUCAGGCGGCGCCAUAUGAUUCGUGCCGUCGUCAAGGGCCAUGGAGCUCGGGACGCCGCUCUCCCCCCUCCUACGCCAUCAAGCAUCACCAAGUCAACUCGAUGCAGGGGGAUGCUUCUUCUUCUUCUCGGGGCGCCGUGCCGCCAUGGAAGGUCUCUCUCUCUCUCGUUUCAAUUUGGUACGGUGCUAUAGUUGGUUCCCUUCCCUCCCUGAUGCGGUUCGUCACGCCUCUCUCUUUCGAUCUGUAGUUGAGCUGGUAGGUCUAGCAUCCAUAUUGGCUUUACAUACAUCAUGGACAACAUAUUUUUCCAGAUCUUUCCCCUCAAGAAAAGAAAAGAUGGCACUCACUUAGUUCCAAGUCGCACAAUUCAGAUAUGGUUGUUUCUGAAAGGGAUUAUUGUUGUAUAGGAAAUAAAAGCUUGGUUCUAUUUGUAACUAAAGGUCUUGAUUAUCUAUGGUUAACUUAAUUCAUACAUCCUCUAUAUCUGAUUAUAUUUUUAUGUUUCAGAUUUCAUAUGCCAUUAAAUCUGACCCAAGAUUAUGUAGUGUACAGCCUGUCAUCUCUUUGGAAUUGAUAAAGCUGCAUAAAUUUCAUGUGCAUGCACAGUGAACCCUAGCCAUGGUGCAUCCCACGAGCUGUUGCUGGCUGUACCUCGGAGCGGAGACAGCACUGCCCCCAACACGUUUGUCUGGCACCCAAUGAUAUCUAUCGCCUUGAGCUCCAUUUGUUUUCCCACUGUCUUUUCUCCAGUUUGACCAAAAAACUCCAGUCGAGAAGAUCUCUAUUAGGCAGCAAAUCUCAUGACAGGUGUUGUGUCAGUUGCAUUGGCCUACGAUAAGGUAAAGUAUUGUGUCUGAUAUAUUCCAUAUGUGCUUUGGGUGUAAUGCAUGAUCAAGUUUUCUAGCCUCGGUGUUUUAUCAUACUUAUUAAUAGGUAUAUGCUAAUGUAACACCCCAUUCAAAAUAGAACUCUGUCAUUAGGAAAAGAUAUACCAAUUAAAUGUGCUUCAGGAAUUAUGCAAUGAAAAAAUAAGCAUAAUAGCAUACCAAAUGUACCUUGCUAAGCAUAAAUGCUCUAUGUUAUAUUAGGAGGUAUACCCAUCCGUCUGGAGUCUGCUCUUAAUACUUUCUGCUCUUUUCCAUGUUGUAACAUUUAGAUCAGUCCACUUAUCAGAUUUUAAUUCCAUAUGCUUGGAUGCAUAUUUGAAUAAAUCCUCCAGUCAUUUUAGUUGUUGCACCAAUAAAUGAAAAAGUAUUAGCAUCACAAGCGGCAAAUAAGACAAAUCUUCUUAUGAAAAAAAUAUCUUCACAUGGUGUAGCACUGGGUAUGUUGACUGGUUUCAUCCUGCCUCCAAUUUCUUGCAUCUGAUAAGUGUCAUUUUUGUGUAGCAAAUCACAAUCUUCACCGCCUAUCGAAAUACUGAGUGAAUGUUAGUUAUGAUUAGCGGUAUUAAUAACAACGCCCAUAAGGAUUUUCAGUUAGGAAACCGAACAUUCAACAAUGCGCGUGUGAUGUAGCUAGGAGACCACCGCAUCACCUGUAUCGGAUUGAGUUUGUUCUCCAGUCCUAAGGACGGCUGUAGAUUCCCCCUCUAUGUUGCUCAUACCGGGCAUUUUCCCUCUCCCUCUUAAGUGCUUGUUUUUCUUUUGUAAAAUAUAAAUGUGAAUUAGGUACAAUACACGAUAUGAGCAACAGUUGUUUUUCUUCUGUACGAUAUAUGUGUAAAUUAGAUGGACAAACCAGGCAAUAUGGCCUAGGGUGUCUUAGAUGGAGUGCUCUUUCCACUUAGAAUAGCAGAUGUAGCUUUCUUAUGAUCCCUUGCCUCACAUUUACUUUUUAAUACAUCAUCCCUGUUUAGUGCAUACAUCCCUUUCUCCUUGUCUCCUCAAUUCCUAUGGAUCUGCCUUUUGACCUGCGAGAAAAAAAUCUUCAGGGUCUACAUGGUCCAGGUAGGUAAGAGUUGGGGAUAUUUAUAUCUACCUGAAUUAUCCUUGUUUGUUAGGUCCUGAAAUGUAGUCCGUCCCCACUACGCUAAGAGGAUGUCGUAGUGUCUCCUGAGUGAAUCUAUUUGUGAAACUCUUUUUCAGUGUUGUUAUCAAUUUGUGAGAAAUACAAUGAACAAUUCCACGUCAGCAACUCAGUUUGUCAUGUGGUCAGGAAAUAAAUAUCAUCAUUAUUUCAGUGAAUCUAGUUUUGCAAGAACCCUUCUCUGCUCCUCUUUGAGGUCCAGAGGUGGAAAGUGCAUCACUUUGUUUGUCGAAUCCGAAAUGGCUAGUGGAGGUGCCAGGGCUAUUUUGAAUGGUAGAAACAUCACUACCGGCUGAAAUAUAUGCCGUCAUUUCUGUCUCGUUCGCCCCAUUGUUGCAGUACAUAAACCCCUUGGUAAGAAACAACUAACCAGGAAUCCUAAUGUGCAAUUUUUACUUAAUUUCUUCAAUAAAACAUUAAGAUCAUGGUGCCCUGUAGGUAGCAAAAGAAACAACUAACAAGGAAUCCUAAUACCCAGUGUCCUGUAGGUACAUGGGCGUAUUUACAUGGUGUCCUGUAGAUACAUGGAUGUUGUUACAUGGUGUUCUGCAGUGUAACGGUGAUGAUUUCCUUUAUUUUGUUCUGAUCAUAAGAUGUACAAAUUGAAAUGAUGUAACCUGUGCAGGGGCGGGGCUGGAAGUAUCAUGAUGGCGACCUAUGUCGUCGAGAUGGUUCGGCCACCAGGGCGAGAACGAUGUGGACACCGGAUCUAGGUCAGCACGCCGGGAUGGCCCGAGGUGUUCUCGAGACGGCGGCCAGGGCGAGGACGGCAUGGACAGCGGAUUUGGGCAAGUCGCCAGGGCGGGCCGAGGUUUCCCCAAGAUGGCACGGCCACGGGGGCGAGGACGGCGCGGACACCAGGGGCCAGGACGGUCGCCAGGCGGGCCGAGGUUUCCUCAAGACAGCACAGCCACCGGGGCGAGGACGGUGGGGCAAGGGCCGGUUCGUGGUCUGGUGGCGGCGUCGAUCACGGACGUAUUGUUUUUUGAGGAGGCGGAUGCAUUGUUCAAUUCCUUGUGGAGGUAGCAUCGUGGGGUUGUCUAGCUCCUGUGCGGGGGCAGUCUGCCGACAGAACAUUUUUUCUUAACCGUUGAUCUAAUUUGCAGAUGUUUGAUGUAAUGUGUGUGCUUGGAUGUUAUUAAGUGGGUUUGAUCGAACGUGGGUGGUUAUCCUGUGUGUACUUUGUGGGGUGGCUGUAGGAGAGUUCAUGUUUGCUUUUUUAAUAGUAGUAUAGAUAUAGAUAUAGAAGUAUAGAUGUGUAUCAGCAAGUACGUGACUUGUUUGUGGGACUAUGCAUUGUAUGAUGACUGUCCUAAAAGGUCCUUAGUCAAAA